CCUACGGGCGGCAGCAGUGAGGAAUAUUGGUCAAUGGACGAGAGUCUGAACCAGCCAAGUAGCGUGAAGGAUGACUGCCCUAUGGGUUGUAAACUUCUUUUAUAUGGGAAUAAAACGUUCCACGUGUGGGAUUUUGUAUGUACCAUAUGAAUAAGGAUCGGCUAACUCCGUGCCAGCAGCCGCGGUAAUACGGAGGAUCCGAGCGUUAUCCGGAUUUAUUGGGUUUAAAGGGAGCGUAGGUGGAUUGUUAAGUCAGUUGUGAAAGUUUGCGGCUCAACCGUAAAAUUGCAGUUGAAACUGGCAGUCUUGAGUGCAGUAGAGGUGAGCGGAAUUCGUGGUGUAGCGGUGAAAUGCUUAGAUAUCACGAAGAACUCCGAUUGCGAAGGCAGUUCACUGGACUGCAACUGACACUGAGGCUCGAAAGUGUGGGUAUCAAACAGGAUUAGAUACCCUAGUAGUC
rnacentral:rRNA from 1 species